GGGACGCCCCACCAGCAGUGGUCCCCUCUUCCUGUCUCUCCUCUCAGCAACCACUUCAACAUUGACUUCCCCUCCACAAGGACCGGGACCUUGCCGUGGUGUGGAGGUUUCAUACAAACACCGGUCCACCCACCCUGCAACAACUCUUCUACAGGACAGUGACACUACGUUUCUUUAAAAAAAAAAAAAAAAAAAACAUUCUAUGUCUGCUGUGAUGUGAUGUAUGUGGUUUAAAAAAAAAAAAAAACAUCCACACCACUGUGUUCUGCAUUCUGCAUCUCUACACUGAACACUUAUGCCGUGUGUCUGCUCUGAUGUUUUUAUUUUUUAUUAUUGUUUUGUAGUUUAAAAUAAACAAUCUAUAUGUAUAAUAUAUAGAAUAUAUAACA